rnacentral:rRNA from 1 species
UACGUAGGGGGCAAGCGUUGUCCGGAUUUAUUGGGCGUAAAGAGCGUGUAGGCGGUUUGGUAGGUCCGCUGUGAAAACUCGAGGCUCAACCUCGAGACGCCGGUGGAAACCAUCAGACUAGAGUCCGGAAGAGGAGAGUGGAAUUCCUGGUGUAGCGGUGAAAUGCGCAGAUAAUCAGGAAGAACACCCGUGGCUAAGGCGGCUCUCUAGUACGGUACUGACGCUGAGACGCGAAAGCGUGGGGAGCGAACAGG